rnacentral:rRNA from 1 species
AUUGAACGCUGGCGGCAUGCUUUACACAUGCAAGUCGAACGGUAACAGGCCGCAAGGUGCUGACGAGUGGCGAACGGGUGAGUAAUGCAUCGGAACGUGCCCAGUCGUGGGGGAUAACGCAGCGAAAGCUGUGCUAAUACCGCAUACGAUCUAUGGAUGAAAGCGGGGGACCGUAAGGCCUCGCGCGAUUGGAGCGGCCGAUGUCAGAUUAGGUAGUUGGUGGGGUAAAGGCUCACCAAGCCAACGAUCUGUAGCUGGUCUGAGAGGACGACCAGCCACACUGGGACUGAGACACGGCCCAGACUCCUACGGGAGGCAGCAGUGGGGAAUUUUGGACAAUGGGCGCAAGCCUGAUCCAGCAAUGCCGCGUGCAGGAAGAAGGCCUUCGGGUUGUAAACUGCUUUUGUACGGAACGAAACGGUCUGGGUUAAUACCCUGGGCUAAUGACGGUACCGUAAGAAUAAGCACCGGCUAACUACGUGCCAGCAGCCGCGGUAACAC